GACGAACGCUGGCGGCGUGCUUAACACAUGCAAGUCGAACGGAAAGGCCCUGCUUUUGUGGGGUGCUCGAGUGGCGAACGGGUGAGUAACACGUGAGUAACCUGCCCUUGACUUUGGGAUAACUUCAGGAAGCUGGGGCUAAUACCGGAUAGGAGCUCCUGCUGCAUGGUGGGGGUUGGAAAGUUUCGGCGGUUGGGGAUGGACUCGCGGCUUAUCAGCUUGUUGGUGGGGUAGUGGCUUACCAAGGCUUUGACGGGUAGCCGGCCUGAGAGGGUGACCGGCCACAUUGGGACUGAGAUACGGCCCAGACUCCUACGGGAGGCAGAAGUGGGGAAUAUUGCACAAUGGGCGGAAGCCUGAUGCAGCAACGCCGCGUGCGGGAUGACGGCCUUCGGGUUGUAAACCGCUUUCGCCUGUGACGAAGCGUGAGUGACGGUAAUGGGUAAAGAAGCACCGGCUAACUACGUG
rnacentral:rRNA from 1 species